rnacentral:rRNA from 1 species
GACGAACGCUGGCGGCGUGCUUAACACAUGCAAGUCGAACGAGUGGCGAACGGGUGAGUAAUACGUGAGUAACCUGCCCUCUUUUUGGGAUAAGCCUUGGAAACGGGGUCUAAUACCGGAUAAAGGGGGCUGGGCUCGCGGCCUGUCGGUGUGUUGGUGGGGUGAUGGCGUACCAAGGCGGUGACGGGUCGCCGGCCUGAGAGGGUGACCGGCGACAUUGGGACGGAGAUACGUCCUAGGGUAGUAAGGGUGGGAGCAGUGGGGGAUAUGGCAGAAGGGGCGAAAGCCUGAUGCAGCGACUCCGCGGGGGGGAUGAGGGCUUUAGGGUUGUAAACCUCUUGCGCUAUCGAACGGGUAGGUGGAGAAGAAGCGCCGGCUAACUACGUGCCAGCAGCCGCGGUAAUUC